rnacentral:rRNA from 1 species
CUUAGUGGCGGACGGGUGAGUAACGCGUGGGGAACCUGCCCUGUACAGGGGGAUAACACUUAGAAAUAGGUGCUAAUACCGCAUAAGCGCACAGUAUCGCAUGAUACAGUGUGAAAAACUCCGGUGGUACAGGAUGGACCCGCGUCUGAUUAGCUGGUUGGCGGGGUAACGGCCCACCAAGGCGACGAUCAGUAGCCGGCCUGAGAGGGUGAACGGCCACGUUGGGACUGAGACACGGCCCAAACUCCUACGGAAGGCAGCAG